GCCGCGCUGCCGGAGUUCCAAGGCUUGGGCCUCGGUGGGGCUGAAUCCUUCCAUUACACCAACCAGGGGCAGUGCACGCACCUUGAGGCGACGGAUGAUGCCGCUGACCUGGAGAGCACACGAAACGCCUUCUCGCUGCUGGGGGUCCAUGAGUCAAGCCAGCUGGAACUGUUCAGCCUCCUGGCCUCUAUCCUGCACCUGGGCAACAUCCGGCUCCGAGCGAAGGACCGGCACGGGGAGAGCUGCUUCGUUGAGCCAGGCGACAAAGCCCUGGGCCUGUUCUGCG